rnacentral:rRNA from 1 species
UGUUUAAACUGGUUUGGGAAAACCAAAUAUAUUAUAUAUUUUGCUUUGUUCAAAAUAAGGUUUUCUAAUAAAUUAUGUUUUUAUCAGAUAUGACAGAAUCUUUUUUAAAAUCUCUUCAAUAUGCUUUUAUUGCUUUUGAGAGGUUUUGUUACUUUGAGUAAAAUUAAGUGUUCAUAACAGACGGGUAGUCAUGAUUGAGUUCAUUGUGU